UACGGAGGGUGCAAGCGUUCUCCGGAUUUACUGGGUUUAAAGGGUGCGUAGGUGGAUAAUUAAGUCAGUGGUGAAAUCUUCAGGCUUAACCUGGAAACUGCCAUUGAUACUAUUUAUCUUGAAUACUUUGGAGGUAAGCGGAAUAUGUCAUGUAGCGGUGAAAUGCUUAGAUAUGACAUAGAACACCAAUUGCGAAGGCAGCUUACUACACAGUAAUUGACACUGAGGCACGAAAGCGUGGGGAUCAAACAGG
rnacentral:rRNA from 1 species